CCCCCCGGGAGAGCGCAGGCGCAGGGGGCGGGGCGCCGGCAGGACUCCCCACGCGGGGAGGAGGCUGGGCUGCGGCAGGAGGGCGGGGAUCGGGAAGGUCCUGGGAAAGGCGGUGGGGCGGUCCGGGACGGGUGCACACACCCUGCCGGCCAGGACUGGCAUCCGGAGUUCCUCCCUUCUCGGAGUCCUGUGCAGUCGGCGGCGAGUGAGAACCCGAAUACAAGAGGCCAUAUGGUCUCUGCUAUUGUACUGGAAAACUGCCAGAGAGAAAACAUGAAUGAAUGGGCAUGACUAUGUUACAACAGAACAUUAUUUACAAAAACAGAUGGCAAACAGCAUGUGGCUCAUAAGCCUGGCUUGGCUGGCCUCUGCCCUCGUCCAGUCUCAAGUUUAACAGCACUUAUCCCAUUUUAGAUACCACAUCACCCAUAUUUCAUCUGUGUUUCCUGAGAAGAAUUUAAGUUCUCUAAAUGCAGGUAUUUGUUUCCUCCAUUA